rnacentral:rRNA from 1 species
AAGUGCCAUAGUACUGAUGGCACCUUGACGGUACCUAACCAGAAAGCCACGGAUAACUACGUGCCAGCAGCCGCGGUAAUACAUAGGUGGCAAGCGUUGUCCGGAAUUAUUGGGCGUAAAGCGCUCGCAGGCGGUUCUUUAAGUCUGAUGUGAGAUCUUACGGCUCAACCGUAAACGUGCAUUGGAGACUGGGGAACUUGAGUGCCGAAGAGCGAGAGUGGAAUUCCACGUGUAGCGGUGAAAUGCGUACAGAUGUGGAGGAACACCCAGUGGCGACGGCGACUCUCUGGUCUGUAACUGACGCUGAGUGAGCGAAAGCGUGGGGAGCGAACAGGAUUAGAUACCCUGGUAGUCCACGCCGUAUACGAUGAGUGCUAGGUGUUAGGGGGUUACCGCCCCUUAGUGCUGACUUAACGCAUAAAGCACUCCG